GAUGAACGCUGGCGGCGUGCCUAAUACAUGCAAGUCGAGCGAACAGACGAGGAGCUUGCUCCUCUGACGUUAGCGGCGGACGGGUGAGUAACACGUGGAUAACCUACCUAUAAGACUGGGAUAACUUCGGGAAACCGGAGCUAAUACCGGAUAAUAUAUUGAACCGCAUGGUUCAAUAGUGAAAGACGGUUUUGCUGUCACUUAUAGAUGGAUCCGCGCCGCAUUAGCUAGUUGGUAAGGUAACGGCUUACCAAGGCAACGAUGCGUAGCCGACCUGAGAGGGUGAUCGGCCACACUGGAACUGAGACACGGUCCAGACUCCUACGGGAGGCAGCAGUAGGGAAUCUUCCGCAAGGGGCGAAAGCUUGACGGAGCAACGCCGCGUGAGUGAUGAAGGUCUUCGGAUCGUAAAACUCUGUUAUUAGGGAAGAACAAAUGUGUAAGUAACUAUGCACAUCUUGACGGUACCUAAUCAGAAAGCCACGGCUAACUACGUG
rnacentral:rRNA from 1 species